CUACCAAGGCAAGGACGGGUAGGGGACGUGAGAGCGUGGCCCCCACACUGGCACUGAGAUACGGGCCAACUCCUACGGGAGGCAGCAGUCGGGGAUAUUGCGCAAUGGACGAAAGUCAGACGCAGCGACGCCGCGUGGGCGAAAAGGCUUCGGGUGUAGCUUUUCUGGGGGAAGAGAUAAGCGGUACCCCAGAAUAAGUGUCGCUAACUACGUCACGCCGCGGGUAAAACGUUAGGACACAAAGCGUUAUCCGGAUUUACUGGGCGUAAAGAGCGUUGAGGCGGUUCCGUAAGUUGGACGUGAAAGCCCUCGGGCUCAACUGAGGGAUGUCGUUCAAUACUGCGGGACUUGAGGGCAGCAGAGGGAGGUGGAAUUCCUAGUGUAGCGGUGAAAUGCGUAGAUAUUAGGAGGAACACCAGUGGCGAAGGCGACCUCCUGGGCUGCUCCUGACGCUGAAGGCGAAGGCUAGGGUAGCAAACGGGAUUAGAAACCCCGGUAGUCCUAGCAGUAAACGAUGGAUGCUGGGUGUGGGAGGUAUAGAUUCCUCCCGUGUCGAAGCUAACGCGUUAAGCAUCCCGCCUGAGGAUUACGGCCGCAAGGCUAAAACUCAAACGAAUUGACGGGGACCCGCACAAGCAGCGGAGCGUGUGGUUUAAUUCGAUGCUACACGAAGAACCUUACCUGGGUUUGACAUGCAAGUAGUAGUGAAGCGAAAGCUGAUCGACCCUUCGGGGAGCUUGCACAGGUGCUGCAUGGCUGUCGUCAGCUCGUGCCGUGAGGUGUCGGGUUAAGUCCCGUAACGAGCGCAACCCUUGUCCUUAGUUACAAGUGUCUAAGGAGACUGCCCGGGACAACUGGGAGGAAGGUGGGGAUGACGUCAAGUCAGCAUGGCCUUUAUGUCCAGGGCUACACACACGCUACAAUGGCCGGUACAAUGGGUCGCCAAACCGUAAGGUGGAGCCAAUCCCGUAAAGCCGGUCCAAGUUCGGAUUGUGGGCUGCAACUCGCCCACAUGAAGCUGGAGUUGCUAGUAACCGUGGGUCAGCUAUACUACGGUGAAUACGUUCCCGGGUCUUGUACACACCGCCCGUCACGUCAUGGAAGCUGGAAACACCUAAAACCGGCGAGCUAACCUGAAAAGGAAGCAGCCGUCUA
rnacentral:rRNA from 1 species